rnacentral:rRNA from 1 species
AGCGAACGCUGGCGGCAGGCCUAACACAUGCAAGUCGAACGAACUCUUCGGAGUUAGUGGCGGACGGGUGAGUCACACGUGAAAACGCGCCUUUUGGUUCGGUAUAACUGAGAGACAUUUGUUAUAACACAAAAUGCCCCUCGCGGGGGAAAGAUUUCUCGCCAUUAGAGCGGCCCGCGUCUGAUUAGAUAGUUGGUGAGGUAACGGCUCACCAAGGCGACGAUCAGUAGCUGGUCUGAGAGGAUGACCAGCCACACUGGGACUGAGACACGGCCCAGACUCCUACGGGAGGCAGCAGUGGGGAAUCUUGCGCAAUGGGCGAAAGCCUGACGCAGCCAUGCCGCGUGAAUGAUGAAGGUCUUAGGAUUGUAAAAUUCUUUCACCGGGGACGAUAAUGACGGUACCCGGAGAAGAAGCCCCGGCUAACUUCGUG